CUAAACACCCCCCUUCUUGGUAACACCUGUGCCCGCAGCUCCUUCCUCUAACCUGCUUUUCUGCUUCUGUAAAAUUCCGCUUCAGCUAGGCUCCCCCUCCCCUACCUAAAUCAAGGUAUAAAAAAUAAUCAAGCCCUUCCUCGGGGCCGAGAGAAUUUUAAGCAUUAGCCGUCUCUUGGUCGCUGGCAAAUCAAUAAAGAACUCUUAAUUUGAAACUCAGAGCAUGGCGUGUUCCUUCUAACUCGCUAAUUUGCGACAUUUGGAAGCCCCAGUGAGAAAUUUGCCACCAGGUGCAAACUGGGCUCGUUCAGAGCUCCCACGGGGGAGGAGGCGGACUGCAGGGGAGGCGCCUGUUCCAGGGUCCCAUUAACCACCCCUUACCGGAGGAGAGCGGAUCCCCGGUGCACUCCACUAAAUUAUUCUUCGGAGUCCCUGGUCCUGCUCCGCGGAGAAGACACCAAGAACCUUGACACCCUCCACCAGUACCAUAUUUUGGCAAGCCAGCAAGGAGGUAAGCCCAAAGUUUGGGAUCUAUUUUUCUCCUUUUUCUUUCUUCUCUAUAUAGAGAAAUCUCUCUCUCUCGUUUUUCCUUUCCAACUUGGGAACCUUGGACCUUGGUGGGUAGUGCCUAAACACAGAGGCAACUGUAGAUUUCUGGCCGGGGCCACUCUGAAGAACUCUUCUGUUUUUUACGGUUGUGAUCCCUGAUCUCUACAUGUGGCACAGCUUAGAGUCAACUCCCAUGUGUUUCAGUAGACUUAAACCUUUCCUCAUGCUAAAUUCUUCCCUUGCCCUACUCGACUGGCUAAGUACAAAAGAAGCUCGCUCAGCCUCCAAUUCCUAUGACCAUAGUUCAAGGCUAUCACUCUAGUAUAACAGGAAACAUAGGAAAGGGUAGCCUUACUAAUUAUAAGGAUGCUACAAGUUGGGGAUUAUACCCAGAAACCAAAUGAAGCUCAUAGUAGGCCAUUGCCCCUGGAGGGAAAGCAUGCACAGCUGCACUGGUGCCCACCUAAGAUCAGAGGUGUCUGAUAUCCUCAGAUUGGACCUCACAGAGGAAUGCCCCAGGGAAUCCUGUGGACCUCAACCUCUCCGAAAGGGAUGUCCUUGGCAGAGGUUCUGAGGUCUAACACUAAACCCUUCUUAGAAUUUUCUCUUACAGUUUCAAUAUUGUUUGACUCCAGUGUUGUUUGGAAUCUAGAGUUUACUGUUGAAAAGUGGGAGGGCAUUGCAUGUAUCCAGGCUUUUGUGCUGCUGUUUUAAGCAGUGGGGCUGUUUAACAUGUGUUGCUCUCCUUUGGUGCUGUUUGGCCCCUGUGGUUAUUUGGAAUCUGGGAGGUUUGGCCUUUAAAAAUCAAACUGCCAUGGAAACUGCUUUACC
rnacentral:lncRNA from 1 species